rnacentral:piRNA from 1 species
UGGGAAUUGUUGAACUCCUGCGUAAGCCAC